UACGUAGGUGGCAAGCGUUAUCCGGAAUUAUUGGGCGUAAAGAGCGCGCAGGUGGUUGAAAAAGUCUGAUGUGAAAGCCCACGGCUUAACCGUGGAGGGUCAUUGGAAACUGUUCAACUGGAGUGCAGAAGAGGGAAGUGGAAUUCCAUGUGUAGCGGUGAAAUGCGUAGAGAUAUGGAGGAACACCAGUGGCGAAGGCGGCUUCCUGGUCUGUAACUGACACUGAGGCGCGAAAGCGUGGGGAGCAAACAGG
rnacentral:rRNA from 1 species